GGAUAGGUGUCCGAGCGGUUUAAGGAACUGGUCUUGAAAACCAGCGUGCAUUUCGUGUACCGUGGGUUCGAAUCCCACCCUGUCCG
rnacentral:tRNA from 1 species